rnacentral:rRNA from 1 species
AGUGAACGCUGGCGGUAGGCCUAACACAUGCAAGUCGAACGGCAGCACAGUAAGAGCUUGCUCUUACGGGUGGCGAGUGGCGGACGGGUGAGGAAUACAUCGGAAUCUACUUUUUCGUGGGGGAUAACGUAGGGAAACUUACGCUAAUACCGCAUACGACCUACGGGUGAAAGCAGGGGAUCUUCGGACCUUGCGCGAUUGAAUGAGCCGAUGUCGGAUUGGCUAGUUGGCGGGGUAAAGGCCCACCAAGGCGACGAUCCGUAGCUGGACUGAGAGGAUGAUCAGCCACACUGGAACUGAGACACGGUCCAGACUCCUACGGGAGGCAGCAGUGGGGAAUAUUGGACAAUGGGCGCAAGCCUGAUCCAGCCAUACCGCGUGGGUGAAGAAGGCCUUCGGGUUGUAAAGCCCUUUUGUUGGGAAAGAAAAGCAGCAGGUUAAUACCCCGCUGUUCUGACGGUACCCAAAGAAUAAGCACCGGCUAACUUCGUG